rnacentral:lncRNA from 1 species
CACCAGGCUGAGGAUCACAUACAAGUGAUGGCAGAAGGGUAGGAUGGAAGGAACGGGAGUUGCUAACAAAUUCAUACGUCUGUCAUGUCAACACUGCACUGCCUAUCUUGGGAUUUCUAAGUGAGAAGUAAAAACAUCCAACUAAUAUACCAGGAUAUCGUGAGAUUAAUGGCUUUAUUUGUUUGAAAAUGCUUUUUACAACACAAGGCUCUAUACAAAUUACCUACUUAAAAUACUCCUCAUCACUAUUUGCAGAAUCUAAGUCACAUGAGGGAAGAAAGAUAUUUUGGAGUCUCUACUAAAUACAUACCCAGGAUAAUGUUUGGCAGGAAGAAGAUAGGUUAAAGAUCUAGGAGAAAAGAAGAACCUAAUAUGCUGCUUAAACUCACUAAGAUCUUCACCUUCAGCUAGAUUUCCAUAAAUUCUUCUUGUGAUUAAGGAUUGGACCAGCCAAGUGGAUUAGCAGGGAAGACUACAAUUUAAUACUAUUAACUACUUGACCUAUGAUGCUUCAUCAGAUUGGAGUACUUCUCCAGGCAUCAAAGGACCCCUCCUGUGAACGUGAUAAGGGAAUACAUUAUUAUUGUGAUCAAAACUGAAAUGGAAGUAAAAGACAAAGAGAGAAAGAAACAGAAAUAGAAACAAUAAAAGUAA